rnacentral:rRNA from 1 species
GGCGGUAUGCUUUACACAUGCAAGUCGAACGGAUUAAAGAGCUUGCUCUUUAGUUAGUGGCGAACGGGUGAGUAAUAUAUCGGAACGUGUCCGGAAAUGGGGGAUAGCUCGGCGAAAGCGGCAUUAAUACCGCAUAUGCCCUGAGGGGGAAAGUGGGGGAUCCGCAAGGACCUCACGUUUUCGGAGCGGCCGAUAUCAGAUUAGCUAGUUGGUGGGGUAAAGGCCUACCAAGGCAUCGAUCUGUAGCUGGUCUGAGAGGACGACCAGCCACACUGGAACUGAGACACGGUCCAGACUCCUACGGGAGGCAGCAGUGGGGAAUUUGGACAAUGGGCGAAAGCCUGAUCCAGCCAUGCCGCGUGAGUGAAGAAGGCCUUCGGGUUGUAAAGCUCUUUCAGCCGGAAAGAAAACGCAUCUCCUAAUACGAGGUGUGGAUGACGGUACCGGAAGAAGAAGCACCGGCUAACUACGAUCCAGCACCCGCGGUAAUACGUAGGGUGCCAGCGUUAAUCGGAAUUACUGGGNGUAAAGCGUGCGCAGGC